GUUUGUGAAAAAUCCGUGAAGCGAAGAAAAUUUUUCUUGCGGUCCUGGACCAGACAAGUGGUCUUCUUGAUUAGAAAUUCAAUUACAUCGGCAUCAGAGGUACCAUACAGUGUAGGUCUCUAUGGAUUAUCUCCAUCUUCUUCACAGCUUUAAAUUACUAAGAGCUACCUUUCCCAAGACAUUGUGGGCUACAUGAUGCUAAAAAUCCAUCGAAAUCGUACAAGGAUGGGCCAUCUCGACUGUC